CCUACGGGUGGCAGCAGUGGGGAAUAUUGCACAAUGGGGGAAACCCUGAUGCAGCGACGCCGCGUGAGUGAAGAAGUAAUUCGUUAUGUAAAGCUGUAUCAGCAGGGAAGUAAAUGAUGGUACCUGAGUAAGAAGCCCCGGCUAAAUACGUGCCAGCAGCCGCGGUAAUACGCAGGGGGCAAGCGUUAUCCGGAUUUAUUGGGUGUAAAGGGAGGGUAGACGGCAGUGCAAGUCUGGAGUGAAAGGCGGAGGCUCAACCCCCGGACUGCUCUGGAAACUGUACGGCUGGAGUGCAGGAGAGGUAAGUGGAAUGCAUGGUGUAGCGGUGAAAUGCGUAGAUAUUA
rnacentral:rRNA from 1 species